rnacentral:misc_RNA from 1 species
UUAAAUAUUAAACUUUUUUCUCAGACGACACUAUAAUGGGUUUGGUAUGCUGUCCGGCGGGCGCUUCCCAGCCGAGGCCGGUCGAAGCCCACCGGAGCAACAAGAGGUAAGGUAUACAAAGGGUGGGAGGUCUACCCGUGAGGGCAUGAACUCGGUAAUGAUCCUUCCGCAGGUUCACCUACGGAAA